GCAAGUCGUUGUAGUAUAGUGUUAAGUAUUCCCGCCUGUCACGCGGGUGACCCGGGUUCGAUCCCGGCAACGGCGUC
rnacentral:tRNA from 1 species